rnacentral:rRNA from 1 species
GACGAACGCUGGCGGCGCGCUUAACACAUGCAAGUCGAACGGAAAGGCCUGCUUUCCCUUGUGGAUUGCGGGUACUCGAGUGGCGAACGGGUGAGUAACACGUGAGUGAUCUGCCCCCAACUUGGGUAUAAGCCUGGGAAACUGGGUCUAAUUCCCGAUAGGACUGCAGGGUGGUGCCUGUGGUGGAAAACGAUUUUCUAGUGGGUGGGGAUGAGCUCGCGGCCUAGCAGCUUGUGGGUGGGGUAAUGGCCUACCAAGGCGGCGACGGGUAGCCGGCCUGGGAGGGUGGACGGCCACAUUGGGACUGAGAUACGGCCCAGACUCCUACGGGAGGCAGCAGUGGGGAAUAUUGCACAAUGGGCGGAAGCCUGAUGCAGCGACGCCGCGUGGGGGAUGACGGCCUUCGGGUUGUAAACUCCUUUCGACCGCGAGGAAGCCACCUGGUUGGAAGGGUGGUGACGGUAGUGGUAGAAGAAGCACCGGCUAACUACGUG